GCAAUGCUAACUCAAUCUGUUCAUCAUUCUCUCUUUCCUUGAUUUCCUGCAUUUCUGUUUUUACCUUCUCCAGCUCAUCUGUGAGCAUUUCAACAUCGCAGUUCAAGCGAGUUAUCUCAUCAUUUGUUUUCUUCAGUUCUAGUUUUAACUGAUUCAUUUCAGUUUCCAAUUCCCCAAUAUAAAUUGCUUGAUCAGAGUUCUCUUUUUCCUUGCCUUUCAGAUCUACCUUUAGCUGGUUCAAAUCAUUUAUGACAUCAGAAACAACUUUGUCAGAUGAACUAAGUAGUUCAUUUGCUUGAUUAAGUUCCACCUGCAGCGAAUCAAUGAAUACAGACUUGGCCCUUAGCUGAUUUUCCAAUUCUUGCAUAAUUUCCAGUUGAGUUUUCAUGUCUUCCACAUGUUUUUGUGCUUGAGCUUGUGUUUCUGCUGCCUCCUUUAUCUCAGAUAAAGCUGUGCACUUAUCUUUUUCGGCUUCAAGAGCAGCCUGUUUUGACAGAAAAGCAGCUUCACUGAGGUCGAU
rnacentral:misc_RNA from 1 species